GCUGGAUGUGGUGGUGGGCCACCUGUAGUCCCAGCUACCUGGGAGGCUGAGGUAGGAGGACUGCUUGACCCUGGGAGUUCUGGACUAUAAUAUGCUAUGCUGAUCCAGUGUCUGAACUAAGUUUGACAUCAAUAUGGUGAACUCCUUGGAGUGGGGGACCACCAGGUUGCCUAAGGAGGGAUAAACUGGCCCAGGCAGGAAAGGGACUAGGUCAAAACUUCUGUUCUAGGCUGGGCCUGGUGGCUCAUGCCUGUAAUCCUAGCACUCUGGGAGGCUAAGAUGGGUGGAUUGCUU
ensembl:misc_RNA Metazoa_SRP Metazoan signal recognition particle RNA